CAGCCCAAGCGCAAUUUCCCGGCCGUGCGGACCCCCAAGGACAUCACGUCCGAGAGCUCCUUCUCCAGGUGGGGACAGCGGGGGUGGCACUGUCACUGUGGGGGUGGCCCUGUCACCGUGGGGGUGGCACUGUCACCGUGGGGGUGGCCCUGUCACCGUGGGGGUGGCACUGUCACCAUGGGGGUGGCACUGUCACCGUGGGGGUGGCCCUGUCACCGUGGGGGUGGCACUGUCACCAUGGGGGUGGCACUGUCACCAUCCCUGUCACCGUGGGGGUGACACUGUCACUGUCCCUGUCACCGUGGGGGUGUCCCUGUCACUGUCCCUGUUCCCAUGAGGGUGGCCCUGUCCCCAGGCGGGUGGCCCUGUCACCGUGGGGGUGGCACUGUCACCAUCCCUGUCACCGUGGGGGUGACACUGUCACUGUGGGGGUGUCCCUGUCACUGUCCCUGUUCCCGUGAGGGUGGCCCUGUCCCCAGGCGGGUGGCCCUGUCACCGUGGGGGUGGCACUGUCCACAUGGGGGUGGCCCUGUCACCAUGGGAAUGUCCCCAGGUUACUGUCCCCUGUCCCAAGGCCAUGUCCCUGGGGGGUGUCCCUGUCCCCAGGCCAUGUCCCCAUGUCCCUGGGGGGUUCCCAUGUCCCCAGGCCAUGUCCCCAUGUCCCUGGGGGGUGUCCCCAUGUCCCCAGGCCAUGUCCCCAUGUCCCUGAGGGGUGUCCCCCUGUCCCUGGGGUGUCCCCAUGUCCCCAGGCCCUGUCCCCAUGUCCCUGUCCCCAUCCCCAGGUUACUGUCCCCUGUCCCAAGGCCAUGUCCCUGGGAGGUGUCCCUGUCCCCAGGCCCUGUCCCCAUCCCCAGGCCAUGUCCCCAUGUCCCCAGGGGGUGUCCCCAUGUCCCCAAGUCCCCCUGUCCCUGUCCCCAGGCCAUGUCCCCAUGUCCCUGGGGUGUCCCCAUGUCCCUGGGGUGUCCUCAUGUCCCCAGGCCUGUCCCCAUGUCCCCAUGUCCCCCUGUCCUUGUCCCCAGGUUACUGUCCCUGGGGGGGUGUCCCUGUCCCUUGGGGGGUGUCCCCAUGUCCC
rnacentral:lncRNA from 1 species